CGGACGGGUGAGUAACGCGUGGGUAACCUGCCCUGUACAGGGGGAUAACAGUCAGAAAUGACUGCUAAUACCGCAUAAGACCACAGCACCGCAUGGUGCAGGGGUAAAAACUCCGGUGGUACAGGAUGGACCCGCGUCUGAUUAGCUGGUUGGUGAGGUAACGGCUCACCAAGGCGACGAUGCAUAGCCGGCCUGAGAGGGCGGACGGCCACAUUGGGACUGAGACACGGCCCAAACUCCUACGGGAGGCAGCAUG
rnacentral:rRNA from 1 species